AGAGUUCAGUAUCUCAUUGAACAAUUUUGGGGUCGUUGGAAAAGGGAGUAUCUGCUCAACAUAUCCAUAAGACAAAAAUGGCACUUACCUCAACGCAAUCUCAAAGUCAAUGACAUUGUCAUUAUUAAAGAUGACAACCGCCCAAGAAAUCAUUGGCAACUAGGACGGGUAGUGGAAACUGUUCAAGAAAGUGACGGCUUGGUACGCCGAGUCAAAGUCCAAGUAGGAGAACGAAAGCCUCACAGAAAACAAGAUCCUCACUCUAAACCUUCAGUUAUUGAGAGGCCUAUACAAAAAUUAGUACUUCUCCUUGAGAAUUAAUUGAAGCAGACACUGCUUGAUUGAUUGUGAUAUACAGUUCACCUGUAUACUUCUGAUCACUUCUGUCAUUUAUUAGAGUCAAGAAAUCCUGUACAAUUCAUCUAGUUUUGUUUAUGUAUUAUUUUAUUCAUUGUAGCAGGAUUUGGUGGGAGUGUAAAUGACAGCUGAAUAUUUUAUUUAUUUAUUUAUUUUUCUUUGGUAAAUGAUGCAGUUCUACCACUCUACAUUUUGGGCUUUUAUUUUGAAGAGCUCCGCUCUUAUUCUACUACCUCCUGUUAUUAAUGACGCUAAACCUUCUGUUCGAGUUCUCACCAUAAUGCUGUGCACGUUGCUCCAGAAACGACUGUCACUGAGAGGUGUGUGGAAGAUAGGCUGUUGGCAGACAAAGCUCAAACUUAGCGCCCUUGGAAGCAGAAGGAGGUAUGAAGAGACAAAUUGUGCAUUAAUUCAAAUGAGUGAUUUAUUUCAUUUAAGACAAAGAGAAAUGGUUAUUAUUAUUUUAUUUUCAGUAGGAACUGUAACUCAUAAUAACUUAAAAGGUUAAAUUCAUGUGGAAGUUUGCUAAGAAUUACUAAUUUAAAAGUUUAAAUACUGUUCUAUUCAUUAUCUGUGAAAUAUGGUACUAUGGCAUUUGUGUUUUGUAUCUGUUAUGUAGUUUUCACGGUGUCAAAACGUCUGUGGUGAGAAGAGGAGAGAAAUAAAGUUGCACCAGUAGAAGCUCCGA